rnacentral:rRNA from 1 species
ACUCCUACGGGAGGCAGCAGUAACGAAUUUUCCGCAAUGCGCGAAAGCGUGACGGAGCAAUGCCGCGUGCAGGAUGAAGCGUCUACGGACGUGUAAACUGCUGUCAGUGAAUAGGAACCAUGACCAGUCCCAGAGGAAGGGCCGGCUCAUCUCGUGCCAGCAGCCGCGGUAAUAA